rnacentral:rRNA from 1 species
AUUGAACGCUGGCGGCAGGCCUAACACAUGCAAGUCGAGCGGAUGAAGGGAGCUUGCUCCUGGAUUCAGCGGCGGACGGGGGAGUAAUGCCUAGGAAUCUGCCUGGUAGUGGGGGAUAACGUCCGGAAACGGGCGCUAAUACCGCAUACGUCCUGAGGGAGAAAGUGGGGGAUCUUCGGACCUCACGCUAUCAGAUGAGCCUAGGUCGGAUUAGCUAGUUGGUGGGGUAAAGGCCUACCAAGGCGACGAUCCGUAACUGGUCUGAGAGGAUGAUCAGUCACAUUGGAACUGGGACACGGUCCAGACUCCUACGGGAGGCACCAGUGGGGAAUAUUGGACAAUGGGCGAAAGCCUGAUCCAGCCAUGCCGCGUGUGUGAAGAAGGUCUUCGGAUUGUAAAGCACUUUAAGUUGGGAGAAAGGGCAGUAGGUUAAUACCUUGCUGUUUUGACGGUACCAACAGAAUAAGCACCGGCUAACUUCGUG